UACAGAGGGUGCAAGCGUUGUUCGGAAUUACUGGGCGUAAAGCGCGUGUAGGCGGCGUCGUUAGUCGGAUGUGAAAGCCCUCGGCUCAACCGAGGAAGUGCAUCCGAUACUGCGAUGCUUGAGUGUUGGAGGGGGUGGCGGAAUUCCCGGUGUAGAGGUGAAAUUCGUAGAUAUCGGGAGGAACACCUGUGGCGAAGGCGGCCACCUGGACAACAACUGACGCUGAGACGCGAAAGCGUGGGUAGCAAACAGG
rnacentral:rRNA from 1 species